AUUGAACGCUGGCGGCAGGCCUAACACAUGCAAGUCGAACGAGUGGCGGACGGGUGAGUAAUGUAUGGGAAACUGCCUGAUGGAGGGGGAUAACUACUGGAAACGGUAGCUAAUACCGCAUACUAUCAGAUGUGCCCAGAUGGGAUUAGCUUGUUGGUGGGGUAACGGCUCACCAAGGCGACGAUCCGUAACUGGUUUGAGAGGAGGACCAGCCACACUGUAACUGUGACACGGUCCAGACUCCUACGGGAGGCAGCAGUGGGGAAUUUUGCACAAUGGGCGAAAGCCUGAUGCAGCCAUGCCGCGUGUAUGAAGAAGGCCUUCGGGUUGUAAAGUACUUUCAGCGGGGAAGCGUUACCCGCAGAAGAAGCACCGGCUAACUCCGUGCCAGCAGCCGCGGUAAUAC
rnacentral:rRNA from 1 species